rnacentral:tRNA from 1 species
GGACAGGUGGCGGAGCGGUUGAACGCGCACGCUUGGAAAGCGUGUAAUCGGUGCAAGCUGGUUCGAGGGUUCGAAUCCCUCCCUGUCCG